rnacentral:rRNA from 1 species
GUAGGUGGCAAGCGUUGUCCGGAAUUAUUGGGCGUAAAGCGCGCGCCGGCGGUCCUUUAAGUCUGAUGUGAAAGCCCACGGCUCAACCGUGGAGGGUCAUUGGAAACUGGGGGACUUGAGUACAGAAGAGGAAAGCGGAAUUCCAAGUGUAGCGGUGAAAUGCGUAGAGAUUUGGAGGAACACCAGUGGCGAAGGCGGCUUUCUGGUCUGUAACUGACGCUGAGGCGCGAAAGCGUGGGGAGCAAACAGGAUUAGAUACCCUGGUAGUCCACGCCGUAAACGAUGAGUGCUAAGUGUUAGGGGGUUUCCGCCCCCUUAGUGCUGCAGCUAACGCAUUAAGCACUCCGCCUGGGGAGUACGGCCGCAAGGCUA